ensembl:lncRNA
CGUGGAGGUGUGCUGCCCAGAUGUCCCUCCCAGGAAGGACUGGUGGUCCCAGUUCUGGGAGUGCUGUCAGCAGGUGCUUGUCAACUGUCAGGCCUUCGAGGCCUCCAUCAGCUGCAGAGGGCCGUCUCCCCCGGGGGGGCCAUGUCCACAUCCAAUGACCGACUGAGGCAAGUGCAUAAAAGCCCAGCUAUUCGGCCCAGUGCCGGACAACUCAGACGGGCUUCCCAGUCCUGCCUCCCGUCCCUUCCUUCCACAGGUGCUAAUCCUAAGGGCAUUCCCUAAUAAACACCCAAAGCCUUAAUUCCCUUUCGGAGGCUGCUUUCCGGAGAGCGCAACCUGCCACAAAUGAGUAUGAAUUUCAGAUCAACUACUUAGGAACGCUGUGACUUUGGGGAAACCAUGACCUAUUUCCUGUAAGACUCAAUUUCCUUAUCUGCAAAAUGGGAAUAAUCGUAACUUCUUCAUAGGAUCAUGGUGAGGAGGCUGGCCUCUGACAUCCAUUUCUGAUAUGAAAUUCCAGGACUUUAAGGAGAAGUUGGAGUUUUAUCUCUGUCGUCGGUGUUCUGAACAGAAAAUAGAGGAUUUUUAGGGUGUAGAUAGAGUUUUCGUUUAUUUUUUCUUUUCAGUUGAUUUUGGAAGAAAAAUGAUGAAGGGGAGGAAGAGUUGGCUUUUGUUGUUGGGUUAGAGGAGUGAGAUUAGAUUUCUUGGGAAAUAGUCAAACAUACCAGAGUGGAUCUUUCAAUGACUGGCAAGAAUUUGCUUGGCAGGAAAAUUGCUGACUUGAUGAAGAGGGCUUCUCCACUCAAUUUUCCGGAGGAGGGAGAAAAAGAUCUUGGCAAACCAGCUUAAUGCCCCAUCGUGAAGAUGCCUGCUCCCUUUGAGCUGGAUUAGUUGCUCCCGUCCCUGUUUCCACAGAAAGCUGAAGCCAAGGGCUAGGAGAAAGGCCAAAGGGCCCACGCAGGAGCAGCAGCGCAUACAGGAUGGACAUUUAAUAAGUGCAUGAAUGAAUGAAUGAAAGUAAGACCAACUAAUAGGACUGAGGUCAACCGAGAACUGUAUGUCCCUCAAAGCUUCAGUGAGAUGAUACAGCCCACAGCUCAGAGGUCCAUUGGGAUCAGUCAUAGACCUUACUCUGCCUGGGCCGGAGACUGCCAGCUCCAACUGACCUAGAACACUGCCCCCCAAACAAGCUUUGCUCUCCACCUCAUCCACCAAGGAGCUGCAUGCCUUCCUGUCACAGAUCAGUUGGCAUCUGGGAGAAAAGAGCACGAGGAGGAGAGGUGAGAGAUAUGGGGUGGGCUGAGGGUGUCACAUGGGUCUCUGACUGCUCCAGACAAAGAGCAGAGGAGUUAAAUUGAAGCCACCUUUAAUAGAAUCCCAUUGCAGCUCCACCGCCACACCCACCUCACAGAAUGACUUCAGCGCUGGAGAAUAAAAAUAUAUUUAAAAUAUUUGCCAGGGUAUCACGUGCUCAUUUGAAAAGCUCUUGAAUCAAUUAUCUACAAGCUCAGUAAAGAGGAGUACUCAUUUUAUAGCAGUUAUGUGGCAGAUCACAUGAUAAAAAUAAUGAGAACUCCAAUCGUGAACAAUUAGUGACUCAAAAUCAUGAAAUUCCCGUGCUCUUCAUAAUUUGAGUUGUGGUGAUCCAGUUCUCUUUUGAGUAAUGACUCAAGUAAUCAACCCAACAUGUAUGGCAACUGAGAAACGUUCCACUUUGGUUUUUGUGUUUACAAGUUCUUUCCAGAUUAUCCACAACAAUUUGAUUUUAUUCUAAAAUACAUUCUAAAAUUAUUAAAAUGUUUUCUGGGAUUUU